CACCCGUUACAAUAUCUUUGUGCUCAGUGAGAGAAAAACAACCACCACCACCACCAACUUAAAAAUACAAUAACAUCUAAUAGUUUCCAAUUGUUUUAACUUGCUUUAAACUGGACUUGAAUUACGUGUGGACUAAAAGGACAGUGUAAAUUGGUUGUCCUGAGACAGCAUCGCUGCACUCACAGAGAACACGUGUCUGCCUGCUGGGAUCACACUUAGACAGUGUUAUCAGCAAUGCCAUCUGCAGGAACUGAUGCUCAUGUUCACACCCUGCACUGUGUUUAUGGCCUUUUAAAGACCAUUAAACUUUUGAGAAAGUAAUCUGGCAACUGUUUAGUGUCCUGCUUGAUGUGUAAGUGUAAACUCACCCUUGUAAUUUAAGAGGGGUUACAGAGCAGGUGCAAUUCAGAUGAUUUAACUCGCAUCCAUUUAAUACCUAUAAAUCAGUCCUAGGGUUCUGGAAUAUGAUUAUCACUGAUUGAGUCAGCAAAAGCUUUUAUGAAAGCCUUGGUUGACAUGCUGGUACAGCCUCACACCUGCAGUUCUUAAGAUGUUCCAUUAUGUCAUCCCCAGCCUGAUUUAUUUGAUAGUCUGGGUUAAAAAUUCCUCUUAGCAGUCUCACACCCUUUUUCCUAGAAAAUAAAAUUGAUUCAUUUGCUGAUUUCUUUUCUUUUUUUCUCCUGUGGUUUGGGAUAUUUCAUGACAAUGAAUUGGAAGGGUCAGAGAAGUUUUACCGGAGUAUGCCAUGCACUUUAAAGCUGGGCUUUGCUUUGUACAACGCUCUGGUAUCCAGGUCAGAAAUACUUUGCUAUUUUGUGAGUUCCUGAUUCCAUUCUGAAACAUAAUUUCUACUUCAAUCCUCACUUUGGUUUUGCCCAUUUUCUUUUUUUUUUUUUUCUUUUCUUUUCUUUUUCCUCUCUUUCUCUGGGUCAUGUUAUCCAUUCCAAGGCCAAGAAAAUCCUACUGGCCAACAGCUGUUGUUUAUACACAGAUAAUAGCAGCUGUCAAAUAUUUUCCCAGUUUGGAUCCCUUCCCUGCACCACUAAAUUGUAUUGUGCCAUCAGUGCAGAAGAACCAUUCGUUCUGCCAAGUAUUGUUGGGAUGGAGAAAAAGGCUGGCUAUGUGCACUUUGAUCUCAUCCAGCUGCUUGCCUUGUUCUUUCCCAGGACAAUCCUGAAGACAGUUGCGCCUGUGGUUCAUAUGUCUGCUUGGAUGUGGUAACUGUAUUUGAUACUGAUAAGAAGGCCUGAGCUCCACCAGAAAAAGGCAUCAUCUGCAUAUGUAUGAACUAUGGCAAAGACAAAUCCCAGCAGAAGCAUUUACCUAAGCUUAGCUAAAAGCUGUUUUCUAGAAGUAAACCCCAAAGUUCUUGGACUUUUUACUGUGAAAAAUACAGAUGAAAUAAGUAUUUAGCAUGGCUUCCGACUCUUGCAUGUGGCAAGCAACUCUGAAUCUUGGGUUUUGGUGGGUUCAAAUCUGGUCUGAACUUUUAUAACAAUAACACAUUUAACCUCUUUAAAUACAUUUUAAUUUGUUAAAAUAAUUUUCAGGGGGAAAAAGGACAACAACAGAUCCUAUAAAUUAACAUAUAGGAGGAUGAACUUAAGCCAGACCGCUUAGCUUUGGUCAAGUGCAUCUAUUUCAGUUUGUCAGACCAUCAGACCAAGCGUGGCCAGCCCAGUUGGGUCACAGGCAAAUGCUCAGACAAAGGGCUGCAGUUGCAUCAACCCUUUCUAGUUUCUUGUGUAAGAAAAGCUGAAUGUCACAGCUGUUACAGAGUACAUAAACUGCAGGCCCAGUUUCACCCAAAAGGGGCUAUCAGUACAGCAGUUUAGCUCAGGACAUUUACAAUUUAUAGGAAGAAUAGCAGAAAUCCUUUGCAGGAAAUGAGAAAGUGCCUGAAUGCUAUUGUCCCUGUAUCAGCCAUGCUUCUUACUACUACGCUUGCUUACUUAACGUGCCUUACUCUUUCCUUCACAGACUACUCCAAUUCUAAAUAAUUCCUCCAUAAGUAGCUCAGACACAUGGUCUCAUUUCUGGCAGCCUCCACUGUGCUAAAUUCUCUCUGGUGCCUGGAACAGCUGCUUGUUCCUCCAGCCUGGGCCUUUUAGAUGUAAAUAGUGUAAUCCGACUUCAAGAGGCAAGGAAAUAUUAGCAGAAUUUAAUGUAAAUAUUGUAUAAAUCAUCCCAAAAUAGCAUGGCCACGGGAUGAGCCAAAGACACUAACAGAAAGUUAAACAGACUAAGUAAAUACAGACUAAAUAUAUUCCCCGCCUGGAAUUGCCACUGGAAUGAAUCCAGGCAGGAAAUAGGUUAAAAUGCAGUCUUGUGGCAGUGAUAUUAAAAAGCCAUUGGCCCACUUGGUGACAUUUAUAGUUAAUUUUAUGUACUCCAUACAUUCUUAAUACAUGCUGAGUUAAAUAUUAUCAAAUCUAUAAAAAGAUAUGGAAAAAUGUCUGUUUUCAUAUGGGCAGACACUGCCCGGAACUCUCUCUGUGGGUUUUGUGUAAGAGAAGCGUUUGAAAGAAAGUAUGAAAGGGGAGAGAAAGAAAAAAGAGUCCCCACACCCCAGCUUUUGAAAACUUGCUUGCCCAUUCAGCACCUAGAAGCCACCACACACCAAGACAACAGGAUUUCUAGGACACAAACCACAACGAGGACUAAGGAAUAAAAUACAUUAAUCCAGUCGAUGUGCA
rnacentral:lncRNA from 1 species